rnacentral:tRNA from 1 species
CCUCUCGUGGUGUAGCGGUAGUGCGCUCUAUCUAGUGAACAGAUAGGCGUGAGUUCGAUUCUCACCGAGAAAA